AAGUCGUAACAAGGUUUCCGUAGGUGAACCUGCGGAAGGAUCAAUACGAAGAGAGAGUGUGGGGAUUUGUUGAAAUACUAGAAAGAAACAUUUGACAACAUUAUAUACACACACACAUUUUACAACUCAUAACAAUGGAUCUCUGGGCUCUU
rnacentral:misc_RNA from 1 species